UACGGAGGGUGCGAGCGUUGCUCGGAAUUACUGGGCGUAAAGCGUACGCAGGCUGUUCUGUAAGUCGGGUGUGAAAGCCCGGGGCUCAACCCCGGAUCUGCGGUGGGUACGGGCAGACUAGAGUGAUGUAGGGGAGACUGGAAUUCCUGGUGUAGCGGUGAAAUGCGCAGAUAUCAGGAGGAACACCGGUGGCGAAGGCGGAUCUCUGGGCCAUUACUGACGCUGAGGAGCGAAAGCGUGGGGAGCGAACAGG
rnacentral:rRNA from 1 species